rnacentral:rRNA from 1 species
UACGGGGGAUGCGAGCGUUAUCCGGAUUUAUUGGGUUUAAAGGGUGCGUAGGCGGCGCUUCAGGUCAGCGGUGAAAUACCGGGGCUCAACCCCGGGGCUGCCGUUGAAACCGGAGCGCUAGAAUUCCGAUGCCGUCGGAGGAAUGUGUGGUGUAGCGGUGAAAUGCAUAGAUAUCACGCAGAACUCCGAUUGCGAAGGCAGCUUACUAAGCCAUAACUGACACUGAAGCACGAAAGCGUGGGGAUCAAACAGG